rnacentral:rRNA from 1 species
ACGGGUGAGUAACGCGUGGAUAAUCUACCCGAUGAUCAGGGAUAACAUUUCGAAAGGGGUGCUAAUACCUGAUAAGACCACGGCUUCUUAGGGGGCUGCGGUAAAAGGUGGGGACCUUCGGGCCUACCGUCAUUGGAUGAGUCCGCGUACCAUUAGCUAGUUGGUAGGGUAAGAGCCUACCAAGGCGACGAUGGUUAGCUGGUCUGAGAGGAUGAUCAGCCACACUGGAACUGAGACACGGUCCAGACUCCUACGGGAGGCAGCAGUGGGGAAUUUUGCGCAAUGGGGGAAACCCUGACGCAGCAACGCCGCGUGAGUGAUGAAGGCCUUCGGGUCGUAAAGCUCUGUCAGAGGGGAAGAAAUGCAGUGGCGCUAAUAUCGCUAUUGCUUGACGGUACCCUCAAAGGAAGCACCGGCUAACUCCGUGCCAGCAGCCGCGGUAAUACGGAGGGUGCGAGCGUUGUUCGGAAUUAUUGGGCGUAAAGCGCGUGUAGGCGGUUUGGUAAGUCUGAUGUGAAAGCCCCGGGCUCAACCUGGGAAGUGCAUUGGAAACUGUCAGACUUGAAUACGGGAGAGGGUAGUGG